UUUCUGUGCAAGCACUGGCAGAACAUGAACUAAAAUGGGAGGAGAAGAUUAGCAUGGCCCCUGCACAAGGAUGUCAUGCAAACUUAGGUAGUGUUCAAUAUUGCC
rnacentral:snRNA from 1 species